CAGCCGUAAACUAUGCGCGUUAGGUGUAGUCGGUGACCACGAGUUACCGAGGUGCCGAAGGGAAACCGUGAAACGUGCCGCCUGGGAAGUACGGUCGCGAAGGCUGAAACUUAAAGGAUUGGCGGGAGCACCACGAACAGGUGGAGCCUGCGGUUUAAUUGGACUCAACGCCGGGAAGCUCACCGGAUAGGACAGCAGAAUGAUUGCCGGGCUGAAGACCCUGCAUGACUAGCUGAGAGGUGGUGCAUGGCGUCAGUGACU
rnacentral:rRNA from 1 species